rnacentral:lncRNA from 1 species
GGUUGCUUGGCAACCAGAGGGUGACAGUUUGAGGAGCUCAGGGAGCUUUGACAAUGUGACUUCAAGAUAGGUGAAGGACAGUAGGAGGCACUGAGUCUGCUGAAAGGAAUCGCAACAUGGAAGCAUCAUUUAAAUAAAGAUUCAUCUCUCUGUGUGAUGAUUCUAAGGAGGAGAAAACUGAAGUCUUGUCUGCCUAUUGUGUUGGGUAGCCUCUAAGGGACACACAAUGAUUCCUUGUGUCCUAGAUUGGAUGGGUAGAUGUCAAUGUCAAGUGACCAGAGAAAUCCCACGAGCAAAUUUAAAGAAAUGCCAUCAUCCAGACACAAUUAUUAUGUAUCAAGUAUUCAUUUUUCUAAUUGGAGUCAUAACUUGGAAACAUUCAACAUUGCAAUGAAUCCUAUGAACUGUAAUACUUGAAUACAUGACUUUAAAAUAAUUCAGAAUUUCAAUCAAUGUUUCUUUCUAGACUUAAACUGGGGCCUUCUGAGAUAACUGGUCAGCUGAGAAACUUUGUAGGCUUUAUGUCUUCCCUAAUCAUAAUUACAUUAGGACUUGUUUAAUCUCAGUUCCCAGGCAAGAUUUCUUUUCAGUGACUCACUUUACCAUUAGCUACGUGGAGAUGAUGACAAUGUACUUUUUUUCAGAUAAAGAGUUUUAGAAUUACUGUAUUUAUAGAAAAGUUGUAAAGGCAAUUCAAAGUUUCCAUGCUCCUUUUAUCACCUUAAUUUUUUCACUAGCAUCUAACAUUUGUUAAAACCAGUCAAAAGUAUUCAUGUUAUUAUUACUUACAGCUCCCAGAUUGCAGGGGCUGCUUAGACUUUCCUUGAUUGUGACAGUCUUGAAAGGUUUGACAAGCAUCAGUUACAUAUUUUGAAAGAUAUCUUUGGAUGGAGUCAUAGGCCUUUGUGCCCAUACGUGGAUUUUCUCUGUGCAUAGGAGAAGACAGGACAGAGCAGGGCUCCAUUUUCAUCAGAGCUUUCAGUGUCAGUGUUCAUUAUUUACACUCACUGGAAUUCCCUCACGUCUCUCCACCAAAGAACGUAUACUUUUGUGCCCCUUACAUAGGGAGGGGAAUCAGGGUGACAUCCAGGCUUCAGAAUGGAAGGUUCUAGACUCAGGAAGUUCCUUCACAUGCUUUGCAGUCAUUAUUGAUAGGGAAUGAAUCUUAAGCUUUCAUGUAAUUCUUCAUUUCAACAUCUACUAAUCAUGUUCAUUACUUUCUUGUUUUUGUGACCAAGCAUUUGAAAACAAACAAAAAACAAACAAACAAACAAACAAAAACAGCAUAAGGGAAAUUUUUUUGUAAGGUUUGAAAGCAUAGUUGAGGUAAGACAGUGGGU